rnacentral:rRNA from 1 species
CGGGACGGGUGAGUAAUGCUUGGGAAUCUAGCUUAUGGAGGGGGAUAACUACGGGAAACUGUAGCUAAUACCGCGUAAUAUCGAAAGAUUAAGGUGUGGGACCUUCGGGCCACAUGCCAUAGGAUGAGCCCAAGUGGGAUUAGGUAGUUGGUGAGGUAAAGGCUCACCAAGCCGACGAUCUCUAGCUGGUCUGAGAGGAUGACUAGUCACACUGGGACUGAGACACGGCCCAG